UACGGAGGGUGCAAGCGUUAUCCGGAUUCACUGGGUUUAAAGGGUGCGCAGGCGGGCAUUUAAGUCAGUGGUGAAAUACCUGAGCUUAACUUGGGAACUGCCAUUGAUACUAUUUGUCUUGAAUGUCGUGGAGGUUAGCGGAAUAUGUCAUGUAGCGGUGAAAUGCUUAGAUAUGACAUAGAACACCUAUUGCGAAGGCAGCUAACUACGCGAAUAUUGACGCUGAGGCACGAAAGCGUGGGGAUCAAACAGG
rnacentral:rRNA from 1 species